ACCAAGCUUCCAGGAAAAGCCACUAAGCUUCAGUCUAGAGUUGACCGUACCGCAAACCGACACAGGUGGGCAGGAUGAAAAUUCUAAGGCGCUUGAGAGAACUCAGGAGAAGGAACUCGGCAAAUUAACACCGUAACUUCGGGAGAAGGUGUGCCCCGGUAGCGUGUAGAGACUUGCUCUCGAAGCGCGAUGGGGUUGCAGUGAAAUGGUGGCUGCGACUGUUUAAUAAAAACACAGCACUCUGCAAACACGAAAGUGGACGUAUAGGGUGUGACGCCUGCCCGGUGCCGGAAGGUUAAUUGAUGGGGUGCAAGCUCUUGAUCGAAGCCCCGGUAAACGGCGGCCGUAACAAUAACGGUCCUAAGGUAGCGAAAUUCCUUGUCGGGUAAGUUCCGACCUGCACGAAUGGCGUAACGAUGGCCACACUGUCUCCUCCUGAGACUCAGCGAAGUUGAAAUGUUUGUGAAGAUGCAAUCUACCCGCGGCUAGACGGAAAGACCCCAUGAACCUUUACUGUAGCUUUGCAUUGGACUUUGAACCGGUUUGUGUAGGAUAGGUGGGAGACUGUGAAGCCGGGACGCUAGUUUCGGUGGAGUCAACCUUGAAAUACCACCCUGAUUUGUUUGAGGUUCUAACCUUGGUCCGUGAAUCCGGAUCGGGGACCGUGCAUGGUAGGCAGUUUGACUGGGGCGGUCUCCUCCCAAAAGGUAACGGAGGAGUACGAGGGUACGCUUAGGGCGGUCGGACAUCGCCCACAAAGUGCAAUGGCAAAAGUGUGCUUGACUGCGAGACCCACAAGUCGAGCAGGUACGAAAGUAGGUCAUAGUGAUCCGGUGGUUCUGUAUGGAAGGGCCAUCGCUCAACGGAUAAAAGGUACUCUGGGGAUAACAGGCUAAUUCCUCCCAAGAGUUCAUAUCGACGGGGGAGUUUGGCACCUCGAUGUCGGCUCAUCACAUCCUGGGGCUGUAGUCGGUCCCAAGGGUAUGGCUGUUCGCCAUUUAAAGUGGUACGCGAGCUGGGUUUAAAACGUCGUGAGACAGUUUGGUCCCUAUCUGCCGUGGGCGCUGGAAAUUUGAAGGGGGCUGCUCCUAGUACGAGAGGACCGGAGUGGACGAACCUCUGGUGUACCGGUUAUGACGCCAGUCGUAUUGCCGGGUAGCUAAGUUCGGAAGAGAUAAACGCUGAAAGCAUCUAAGCGUGAAACUCGCCUUAAGAUUAGAUUUCCCGGAGUCUUGAACUCCCUGAAGGGUCGUCGAAGACCACGACGUUGAUAGGUCAGGUGUGGAAGCGCAGUAAUGCGUUAAGCUAACUGAUACUAAUUGCC
rnacentral:rRNA from 1 species